AGCCAAGGCGUCGGGAGAGCGUCUCCUGCGUGGGCCAGUGGCCUGAUGAGACUCCCAUGCGGAGGGUCCGGUCCCCAGAGGUCAGCGUCCAGCCAGACCCCGGAGACCGGCCGACAGGCAUGUCAUCCCAGCUGCACUGUGGGGGCCCAGGGGGUUGACCACCUAUGAGGAUUAAGGCCAUUCCCCAUCCCUCAUCUUGCCAAGCCAUCACCAGGCGGUAAGGACUCCUGGGCAGUGUCACCUCCGGGGCCAUGCUGGCAUCUGUCACCUCCAUACCUCCCUGGGGUCCCAUCCCAGCCAUUUCUGCCCGCCCGCCUGGCUCGGUCUCUCCCGAGGUCACCGUCCGACUUCCCCAAGUGCAUACUGUGACUCCCAGGGGGUCGAGGACCCAGCAGGGCUCCCCAGUGGUUCCCGGCUAGAGGACGCCACCUUCAGAUGACAGCAUCCUUAAGGCAGGUGCACCUGCGGCCUGACCCUCUGAACUCUCCGAUGCAAACCCCAGUGCCCAUCAAACUGACACAGCCACGCCCAGUGCUUUCCGGCUUCCUCCCGCGAGCAGAGCUGACGCUCCUCGGAACACGCCCGGGGGACUCCCCACCGUCCUUGUUGGCAGCUUACCCCCCAGUCCUUUUAUCCGUCUGUGGCGGGGACGGGAGCAAAGAAGACUCCUAGGAAAUACAGAUCGGAGACCCUGCACACGGCAUCAGCGAGAUCUGGAACACUCGAGAAACCAAGCUAGUGUUAGCUCUGCGUGAACGCUCAGCCAGGCAGCGGGCACGGUCCACGCGGGGUCACGCGGGGGACCCGCCCCGCCCCGCCCCGGGCGCCAGCCGCAGAGGACUUGGGGCUGUUUGUUGGGGUUGUCGCCCUUCUGCUUGGUUUAACCGUCGAGGGGCACCCGAGGGAAGACCCAGGUGGGCCUCCGCGGCGUGGGGGGUGCGUCGAACUGGAUGAAUGGCCUCGGCAGUGGGGACCCGGCCGCGCCCGCCGCCCCGGCCCCCAGCCCUACCUGUCCGUGCGCGUCCGGUGAGCCUUUUCUACACGCACGUCCACGCCACCAUCGUCCUGUCCCGCAGGUGUCAUGCACGGCGCCUCCGUCUUCCUCGUCCCCACAUCGCUUCGGCCCACCCUCCGCGUGGGGAGAAGCCGUAAAGACACAGCGCUGAGACAUUAUGGCUCUUCCAGAAAAUAAAAUAUUUUUGAAACCGCA
rnacentral:lncRNA from 1 species